CUCAACGACCUCCGUGGGCGCUGACCCAUUCCCGUCCACAGGGGAGGGAGAAGAACUCGCGCGAGCUGUAGCCAUCCCAUCGCCAUCGGGGGUGGUUGGACCUUAUUCCUUGCGCCACGAGUCGCCUCCAUUGAAGCCGCGCUCAACGGCUUCCGCGCAUGCCGCGGCCUGCUAACCGCUUGGGCUCCGGGUUCAUAAGGGGGCAGGUGGGUUCCCAGACCACGACCUCAUCCACUCCGAGCCUCAACCACAAUCACCGCCAGGGCCGGCCACCGUUGCUUCCUCGCCGCCACUUUCUAAUCGCGUCCGCCAUUAACGAAGCACAGAGAGAUUUGAGAGUUGCCGCUGCUCGGGCGCUUUACCGGCGUCGCGGUCCCGAGUCUGGCAUGUGGGCGGGCAUGUCACUUGGACCUCCUGCGGCGGAUCUGGGCAAUCCCGUGUGGAGUCAUCGGCCAGGGCAAGACGAAAUCGCCCGCCGGAAUCGUACCCCCGCCGCGCGGCCGCCAUUCAACGUGGGCAGGAGCUUUGGCGCUAGCAAUGAAGUGCGGUCACGAGGAUCCGAAGAAUCACCCUGGUAACUAGAAUCUCAAGUGCUAGGCAAGCUGUGCCCUGUACCACUUUUGUUACCCAAUAAUGUUCCUUAUUAUCACUUAUUCAUGCAUAGGUUUAAUUUUGAUGGGACCCAAUAGGUCACCCUAGACUAUUUAUCUUUUUACCUUGUGUACUCCUGAAUCAUUGAGUACUUCUGCUAUUGCUUUACACGGUUUUUGGUUAAUAUUUCAUUAUAUCCAUGUUCCUAUUAUUAUGUUAUGUUAUUUAAUGUUCAUGAUAAGAUCAUUAUGUUAAUGGGAACAUGGAGAACCACCCGGGAAAACAGUGUUACGACAAGGGUAGUAUGGGAUGCCCUUGGCUGAUUAACUAGGAAAGCUAGUGGAUGACUACCUUACCCGAAAGGGGCAAGGGCAGUAGGGGAGUGGUCAGUGUAGGGAGGUCCUUGGGUUGAUUUUGCUGCGAUGGCGGUCAGGCGAGGGAUCCCUGCAUUGGAGCUUUCUAUAAACUGUAGCGGGUUUUCUGAAGCUACUGGAACUUUGUAAAGGCCUCGUAGUGUUACCCUGUUUCGCUUCCUUGGUAGAGGUGUAUGGGAUUUAUGACCCCUUGGCAGAUGGGUAACAUGACUUGUGGGUAAAGAUGUGCAACCUCUACAGAGUGUAAAACUGGUAUACUAGCCGUGCUCACGGUCAUGAGCAGCUCGGACACUUACAAGAUUAAUCUAUGUAACUUAAAUUCAAUUUGUCAUAUGCAUUGCAUGAGAUUUAUUAUUAAUUUUGUUCUAUUAUUUAUUAUGGUUUGGUAUUUACUUACAUUUAGUAACUGCUAAUAAAAUUUGACCAACUUAUUAAAAGCAAUGCUCAGCUUUAACCUUUAUUUUGUUGAUUAGCCUUACACUUCACAUGAACUCCCACCUUUGGUGAGUUCAUGCACAUUAUUCCCCACAACUUGUUGAGCGAUGAACAUGUGUGAGCUCACCCUUGCUGUCUCACACCCCCCCAUAGGAGAAGAACAGGUGGCUCAAGAGGAGCCACUCAGCGAGGAGUUCGAUUCGAUAUAGGUGGCGUCUCCCAGUUGACUUUCUGGCGCCAAGGAUGGAUUUUAGAUCCUGUUAUAUUUAUCUUUUAUUUUGUAAGACUUCCUCUAUGUAAUAAGUACUCUGAUUAUAUUGUGACAUUUAUCUCUAUACACUCUGUUAUUAUAUGUGUUGUCUUCUUUGGCGCAUGUAUGAGAUGCACCAAGCUUUGUCCCUUAAAACCAGUGUUACAGAAGUGGUAUCAGAGGAAUAUUGACUGUAGGACGAAACCUUGAUAGAAAUGGACAUAACCAUUAUCUACUUACCUUAAUCUGAUUCUUUCUAUACUUUUCUUGAUCGUGUCUCACCUUCUACUGUUCUACUCUGAUUAACCUUACCUUUGUAACUCUGAUUCUUUUCUAAACUUAUCUUAAUUUUUUCUCAUCUAUUUCCAAUUUACUCUGAUUAUUCUUACCUGUUCUUUUCUAAAAGACAAAUGUGGAUUUCACACUUUGAAAUCAUGUGCCUAAAGUGACCUUUAGGAAUAUGAGACCUACUCUUAGGAACAAAAACAAAACUAUUGUUAUAGGUAACUAUACGCUUGAGUGCUUGUUCUUAUGAUAUUUGUUUGAUUUGGAUCUUUGAUUGAGUGUGAUUAGUUGUGGAGUAAUGUCCACAAUUACAUCUGCAUAUACGUAUAGGCAUAAAUCUCUACAACUAUUAAGAACCAAAUGUAGACUGCCCCCGCCUCUACGUCCGCCCGCCCGCCCGCAAUCCCGCUGCGGCCGCCCGCAACCCCGCACGCCGCCAACCCCGCCGCGACCAAUCCCACCCGCACGCCGCCCGCACCUCAAGCACCACGAAUCCCGCGUCUUCCCCGCCGCGGAACCCGCCUCCACCCACACCCCGCCUGCGGAGCCGCUCCCCACCUCCGCCCGCCCGCCCGUCCGACCUCCGGAAACCACGCCACGCUUCCAACCGCCUCCUCAAACCACGCCGCAAACCCCGCCGCACACAGCUUCGCCUCCACCGCACACACUAUGCGCGCUCCUUCCCCGCUCUCUUCUCGUCGCGCUCCUUCCCCUGCCUGCCUCGCGGUGCCGCGGCCUCCGGAGUCCAGACCACGCGCACGCGGGGACCGCGCCUCCACGUCGCGAGGCCACCGCUCAUGAGGUCGCCCCCUCCCCCCUAGCCGACCCCCAAAAUAUUGUUUUCGGAGGACCCCGCCGAGCCCAAGGUCCUGACCCACGAGGAGAUGCUGAUGCUGCUCACGGGACCCUAGGUGCGCUCGGUCGCGGGAGCGGUCCCACGGCGGUUUCGAUGACCCUGGAGAGGCGCCGGAAGAGAGCACCCAUAUAUUUUGCAGUCGCCACUGCCACACGCGAGGAGACGAAGCAAGAAGGCGCGCAGGUGCGGCGACGGUGCUCAGGCUCUGGGCUGGUGGCGUCGCCGGCAAGCGCAAGAAGGCUGUCAUGAGCGGCAAGCCCAAGCGUCCGCCCUCUGCCUUCUUCAUCUUCAUGUCUGAAUUCAGGCAGGAGUAUCAGAUGUCUUCUUUGUUCGUGUUGGUGGAUCAGGUGAGCAAGGCAGCAGGGGGAAAGUGGCAUGCUAUGUCAGAUUAAUUUGAACAGUUUGAAUAACAAAUAUCUGAAUUAAGAGAGGCUCUGGCAGACAAGCAAGACCCAACUCGCCACCACACGAAUCCCCCUCGCCAUCGAGCGAGGUGCUAUAGGAGGAGCCCACGAUCCUGCUCCUGCUCGACGCGGAGGCCAAGGCCCUGGCCUAGGCUGACGAUGAUGGUGCAGUCAAGGUGACGAUGUUGUUUAAUUAAGAAUGUGUUGAAGUUUGGUCUUUUACAAGGAAUGAAAUUAAACUGUAGACUACUGCUUUUCGUAUUCCUUUUGACUUUUCUUUGCAAAUGUUGUUUAAUUAGAAAUAGUAGAAUAUUUCUGCUGAGAGCGGCAAAGACUGCUCAGUUUUCCUCGAUUUCUAGAAAUAAGGCGGCAAUAUAACAAAGAGUAUUGUUCUGUUUGCUA